rnacentral:lncRNA from 1 species
UGACAUUAGCACUCACGCUGCUGCAGGUGUCUCGGUCCACUUCCUUUUAUUGUUCUUCGUGAGAAUUAGGUACUAAAAUGAGGCAAUGUUGUGUGUGUGUGUGUGUGUGUGUGUGUGUGUGUGUGUGUGUGUGUGUGUGUAGGAGAUGUUCCUGGAGAUAGAGCAAAAGGUAGCCAGUCUGUCUGUACUGGAGCAGCAGGAGGGCUCAGCAGGGUCCCACCAGGAGGCUGAGGCACUCUCCUCCAAACUGGAGCUGCUCAAGACCAGCCUGGUCACCUUCCAGCUGUUGUUGCAGGAGAGACAGAGCCAUGAGCAGAUGCACACCAGCACACAUACAGAGGAGAAGGUGCCAUCACCGUCACCGUCAUCACCCAGAAAUCUUCCUCUAGAGGGCAGACUGCAGCGUAGCGGCAGUGUCCAGGAGAUUCUCUCUUCUUCCAAGAGCAAACUCUUUAGACAGACCAGCUUUCAACAGCAGAAGGUAAACUGUCCAAAACAUGUCUGAACGGAGAGUGUGGCUGGCUAUUUAUUGGACUUUAAUUGUAUUGACAAAUUCACAUAUGAUGAUGCCCAGUGAAGAAUUAUAAGUACAGUGUUUGCUAGUCGAGGCUGUUUUUUUUUGUCCCCAUGCAGGAAUUGGAGCAGGAGCUGAGUGAGCAGAGAGGCCUGACCAAGGCUAUCGCCCAGCAGGGGAGUAGAGGUCGUCUCCACAGCCAGGCCCAAAAGGAUCAACCUGAGCCAUCCACACGGUACUGAUUCCCUUAGAGUGCUCCAGUCUGUAGGCUUUGGAGCUAGAAUAAAUCAUGAACGAUGCUAUACAC